rnacentral:snoRNA from 1 species
AUUCUUAACUUCUGAGAGAAAUACAAAAAAGAAAAAUAAGCAAAGAACAGAUAAUAGAAAGGAACACAGUAAAUACAACAUAAUGCUUAUAGUAAAUAU